AGGAUCCUGGGAUCAUGACCUGAGCCAGAAGCAGACACUCAACUGACAGAGUCACCCAGCAAAUAAGGAUUACCACUUACUAGAUACCAGGCCUUUGUUUGGUAUGUUGUUUCUGAAGAAUCCAGUGAAGAUUUCUUCUCACAAUUAUACAUGUAAAAGUGAUGAUGUAGAGGCACCUGGGUGGCUCAGUGGUUGAGCGUCUGUCUGCCUUUGGCUCAGGUCAUGAUCCCAGCAUCCUGAGAUCCAGUCCCUCAUCAGGUCCUCCCAGAGAGUCUGCUUCUCCCUCUGCCUCUCUCAUGAAUAAAUAAAUGAAAUAUUUUUUUAAAAAAGUGAUGAUGUAUAUUGGGAAUUCUCAACACUG